rnacentral:pre_miRNA from 1 species
AGUUUUGCAGUUUUGUACUACAGGAAGAAGUGACCUGUGCAAAUCUAUGCAAAACUGG